CGCUUAUAUUCAUCAGUCACAGAUAGAAAUACAGUGGGUGUGGCACCAUGAGUCAUUUCACAUUCUUUUCUUUUUUUUUUGUGUGUGUGUGUGUGU